AAAAAAUAAUAAAAUUCCCAAAGAAAAAAAAACGUAUCAGAUCUGCCCUCACCAUUUCCUCACCAGUUACGAUCCUCACCAUUUUCGUCCAUGGCGCAGCCUCCACCCAAAUCUGCCUUGACUCUCCCUUUCCCGGCUCCACCGCCACCUCUCAUUCUCACUGCUCCAUCGCCACCGCGACACCUCCACUGCCACCUCUCACUCUCACGGCUCCACCGUCACCUCUUACUCUCACGCCUCUAACACGAUGCAACCACGGCCUCCAGCACCACAACCGCCGACUCUCACUCUCACUCUCUCAAAUCGGCCGAGACCAAAGGCUCAAAGAUCUGUCUUCUCUGCCUUCAGGUUUGACAUAAGGCAUUUCGUGCAAAUAAUGUUGAAAGUGCAAAAUCAAGACUUAGCAUAUGUGCAAAAGAUAUUUGAGAACUAGUAGAAAGGUUGGGAAAUACAUCAGAACUGUGCUCACGGCUUGGACCAGUUCUGCAUAUGGAGCAAUUCUGGGUAUGCUUGGUGAUUGCAGAGUGCUUUUUGCAGAUGAAGACACCUAAUUCAACCCGUCCAACACAGUAUCCAUGAUUUCUUCUGCAUCCAUUUCUAUUUUGGUUUUAUAUCUAUUUCCAAAUGUUCAAUUCUUGCUGAUCUUUCUUAACCUCCGAAGAUGCCCUUUUUGUAAAACUUCAAAUUAUGCUGUUGAAUAUCGUGGAGUAAAAACAAAGGAAGAAAAAGGCAUGGAGCUAAUUGAGGAGCAACGAGUUAUUGAAGCCAAAAUACGGAUGAGGCACCAGGAACUUCAAGAUGAAGAGGAGAGGAUGUUGAAACGAAGAGAGAUGUAUUCUUGUAGCAGUAGCAAUGGACCGAGUGAGGAGUAUUGUUCUACAGCAGAAUGGGUUGGAUACUAAGGUGGAGAAGCAUGAUUCCUCGGUGCAGAAGCAGAUCAAAGAUAACUAAGGUGAAGAAGAAAUAGAGAAAUUAGAUACUUUUGCCAAGUGGAUUGCGAACUUAGGUGAUGGCAAACUUAGCUUGGUGGUAACAAUGAUGGUGAUUGUAAUAUACAUAUUCCUUCACAGUUUGUAUUGCAAACCAAAGGAGAUCCUAUCAAAGAGAUUGUUGAGCAGACAUUUCCUUCAUACGGCACUGGUGACAUAGAUCCUGAACAAUUAAAGAGUCGAGCAAUUUUGGCACCAACAUUAGAUGUUGUGGAUCAAGUGAAUGAAUACAUGAACAAUAUGAAUGAAGCUUCAUCGAAGACUUAUUUAAGUUGUGAUUCUGUUUGCAAAGGCUGAUACCAAUGAUAACAUGUUAGCGGAAGUACACACUACUGAAUUUUUAAACAGUUUGAGGUGUUCUGGUGUACCAAACCAUUCCUUAUCAUUAAAGGUUGGAUCUCCAAUAAUGUUGUUGAGGAAUAUCGACCAUUCUAUUGGUCUUUGUAAUGGGACACGAUUGAUUGUUACCAAAUUAGGGAACCAUGUGAUUGAAGCCAAGAUAUUAUCUGGAACACAUUAUGGGACAAAUGUCUUGAUACCGCGGCUAGCAUUGACUCCUUCAGAUCCAAGACUUCCUUUUAAAUUUCAAAGGACGCAAUUUCCUGUUAUGUUGUCCUAUGCAUUGAUAAUAAACAAAAGCCAAGGACAAACUUUGUCACAAGUGAGGUUAUUAUUAAAGAAACCCGUGUUUAACCAUGAACAAUUAUAUGUUGCGGUUUCCCGAGUGAGUAAUCCUGAUGGCCUCAAAAUCUUAAUUUCUGACGAAUCCAAGUGCUUAGUCAACUGUACU